CAGUGACACCUGAAUUAGGCUCAAAGAGGAGGUAUUGCAGUGACACAGAGUCAGGGCUUUCUUUGUAGGCGAAGAACGGGUACACGUUUAUCAGGAAGGGGGAGUUGAUCUGAGAAUGGAAGCUGAGAAGGGGCUGAAUGUACUCUGCAAGAUCUUCUCGAAAUGAACCUGCGGAAGGAGGGUACGAACUGCCUAGAAUCUCAAACGAGUGUGCAGUCGAGAUAUUCACUUGCUUGUCCAAUCCAAGGGUGACAAGAGCUCCAUGUAGCGAUUGCAUUGCAGGGAGGAGAUUGGACAUGAGCACCUUAUCGCUG
rnacentral:misc_RNA from 1 species